rnacentral:lncRNA from 1 species
UAUAUGCCUAGUGCCAGCUAUCUGGAUAAAAGAAAGAACGCAGAGAAACAGGUUAGCUAUUCUUAGAUACAGCAUUAAAUUGUGAGUGCACUUGUCACAACGGCAGUACAUGUCAUAGAGAUCAUUCAUUGAUCUCAUUGACCAGCCCCCAUUGUCUACAGUAUAUAGAGUCGUACAUGUAUAGUGCCAACACAACAGAACUACACAGAAACAGAUUUGAGCGGAAAAAGAGCUUCUGACAAUGGGGGGUCAAAGGACGCUUUCCGUGUUGCUUCUGUUGAUGAUGGGUGUGGUGACCACUGCUCUUCCUGCAACUACUGGAAACAUCACUGCUAUUGUAGACACCACUUCAACGGUUGGCCCUUCAUCAGCCACUGGUGAGUUUACCUUUAGUCCAAUAAGUGAUUUUCAAUCCACUUCUCAAUCCUCUCUGACUGACUGAAUUGUAAUCAUCUCUCAUCUUAAUCAUAUAGUAUGUUAUAUACACUACCGUUCAAAAGUUUGGGGUCAAUUAGAAAUGUCCUUGUUUUUAAAAGAAAAGCGCAUUUCUUGUCCAUUAAAACAGCAUCAAAUUGAUCAGAGAUACGGUUUAGACAUUGUUAAUGUUGUAAAUUACUAUUCUAGAUGGAAACGGCAGAUUUUUUUAUGGAAUAUCUACAUAGGUGUACAGAGGCCCAUUAUCAGCAACCAUCACUCCUGUGUUCCAAUGGCACGUUGUGUUAGCUAAUCCAAGUUUAUCAUUUUAAAAGGCUAACUGAUCAUUAUAAAACCCUUUUGCAAUUAUAUUAGCACAGCUGAAAACUGUUGUCCUGAGUUAAAGAAGCAAUAAAACUGGCCUUCUUUAGACUAUUUGAGUAUCUGGAGCAUCAGCAUUUGUGGGUUCGAUUACAGGCUCAAAAUGGCCAGAAACAAAGAACUUUCCUCUGAAACUCAUCAGUCUAUUUUUGUUCUGAGAAAUGAAGGCUAUUCCAUGUGAGAAUUUUCGUCCCUCUGCAACUGGAUCUUCGACAUCCUGACGGGCCACCCCUAGGUGGUAAGGGUAGGUAACAACACAUCUGCCACGCUGACCGUCAACAAGAGGGCCCCUCAGAGGUGUAUACUUAGUCCCCUCAUGUACUCCCAGUUCACUGCAUGGCUGUGCCCGACUCCAACACCAUCAUUAAGUUUGCUGACGACACGACGGUGCUAGGCCUGAUCACUGACAACGAUGAGACAGCCUAUAGGGAGGAGAUCAGUGACCGGGCACUGUGGUGCCAUGACAACAUCCUCUCCCUCAACGUCAGCCAGACAAAGGAGCUGAUCGUGGUCUACAGGGGAAAAAAAGGGCCGAGCAUGCCCCCUGGGCUUUAUUGGAGCGGGUCGAGAGCUUCAAGUUCCUCGGUCUCCGUCACUAAGGAU